rnacentral:rRNA from 1 species
UACGAAGGGGGCUAGCGUUGCUCGGAAUCACUGGGCGUAAAGCGCACGUAGGCGGAUUGCUAAGUCAGGGGUGAAAUCCUGGAGCUCAACUCCAGAACUGCCUUUGAUACUGGCGAUCUUGAGUCCGGGAGAGGUGGGUGGAACUCCGAGUGUAGAGGUGAAAUUCGUAGAUAUUCGGAAGAACACCAGUGGCGAAGGCGGCUCACUGGCCCGGUACUGACGCUGAGGUGCGAAAGCGUGGGGAGUAAACAGG